UGGGGAAUAUUGGACAAUGGGCGCAAGCCUGAUCCAGCCAUGCCGCGUGAGUGACGAAGGUCUUCGGAUUGUAAAACUCUUUUGGCGGGGACGAUAAUGACGGUACCCGCAGAAUAAGCCCCGGCUAACUUCGUGCCAGCAGCCGCGGUAAUACGAAGGGGGCUAGCGUUGUUCGGAAUCACUGGGCGUAAAGCGCACGUAGGCGGAUGUGCCAGUCAGGGGUGAAAUCCCGGAGCUCAACUCCGGAACUGCCUCUGAUACUGCACGUCUUGAGUUCGAGAGAGGUGUGUGGAAUUCCUAGUGUAGAGGUGAAAUUCGUAGAUAUUAGGAAGAACACCGGUGGCGAAGGCGGCCCACUGGCUCGAUACUGACGCUGAGGUGCGAAAGCGUGGGGAGCAAACAGGAUUAGAUACCCCAGUAGUCCCUGAGCGGGCUGGCAAGGCGCAU
rnacentral:rRNA from 1 species